rnacentral:rRNA from 1 species
AACGAACGCUGGCGGCAGGCCUAACACAUGCAAGUCGAGCGCCCAGCAAUGGGAGCGGCGCACGGGUGCGUAACGCGUGGGAACGUACCUCUUGGUACGGAAUAACACAGAGAAAUUUGUGCUAAUACCGUAUAAUAUCUCCGGAUCAAAGAUUUAUCGCCAAGAGAUCGGCCCGCGUUGGAUUAGCUAGUUGGUGAGGUAACGGCUCACCAAGGCUACGAUCCAUAGCUGGUCUGAGAGGAUGACCAGCCACACUGGGACUGAGACACGGCCCAGACUCCUACGGGAGGCAGCAGUGAGGAAUAUUGGACAAUGGGCGAAAGCCUGAUCCAGCCAUGCCGCGUGAAUGAAGAAGGCCUUAGGGUUGUAAAGUUCUUUCAGUGGUGAAGAUAAUGACGGUAGCCACAGAAGAAGCUCCGGCUAAAUUCGUGCCAGCAGCCGCCGUAA